rnacentral:misc_RNA from 1 species
GAAAUGCGAUAAGUAAUGUGAAUUGCAGAAUUCAGUGAAUCAUCGAAUCUUUGAACGCACAUUGCGCCCGCCAGCAUUCUGGCGGGCAUGCCUGUCCGAGCGUCAUUUCAACCCUCAAGCACUGCUUGGUGUUGGGGCCCUACGCGUCGAGCGUAGGCCCCUAAAAUCAGUGGCGGGCCCGCCGUGGCUCCGGGCGUAGUAGCAACACCUCGCCCUGGAAUCGCGGCGCGCUCUGGCCGUUAAACCCCCACUAUACUGAAGGUUGACCUCGGAUCAGGUAGGAAUACCCGCUGAACUUAA